rnacentral:lncRNA from 1 species
UCCUGAUGCUUCAGCGUUUUUAUUCUGAGGAAUGUAUACUGUCACUUGUAUAGGGACACAAGAAGGGACUGCAUCCAUCACAGCGCGGAGGCUAUGCCUGGCCACUGCCCUACUAGGCCAACAAAGUCCCUUCAACUUGAGUACAGGAAAUAGUUUCAAGCAUUGACAAUUCUUAAACGUGAUUAUUCAAAGAAUGCAAGACAGCCACAGUUCAGACAAAUCAACUACAGAAAUUAUUAAGAGACGUUGUGGAGGGAGGCCCUGCUUUUUAAAGAUCACACAAAAAGGUGAAGGAAACACAGUGGGAGCUCUGCCCUUGGCCAGCAGGACUGGAGGCAGGGGUGGGGUGGGAUGCAGAUACCAGUGGCUCGCUUCAGCAAGCACACACAGCACAGGGAUACCUUGCUCUCCUCCACCCACAGGAACCCAGAACCACAAGUUUUCUAGAUAGGGGUCUGUGUGAAUACCCAGAAAGGACCAGAGGAACCCUAGGAAUCAAAGGGAACGUCUCUGGCCUUUAGACCCCAGAUCUAAAGCUUCCUGCCAGGCUUGGGGCCACAGUGGUUCUGCUUCAGAUGCGGGUGCCAGAAGGUAACAUGCCUCCAGCUGACACAAGCAUGGUGCUGCUCUCGCUUCUGCAGACACCAGCAGUUCUGCAGGAUGAUUUGGUGCUGUGCAGACAUCCCCAGUAUAUUGUUAAGUCCUAAGUUC